rnacentral:rRNA from 1 species
UACGUAGGGACCAAGCGUUGUUCGGAUUUACUGGGCUUAAAGGGCGCGUAGGCGGGGGAGCAAGUCCGGGGUGAAAUCGUUCGGCUCAACCGAACCACUGCCUCGGAUACUGCUCCUCUCGAGGGAGGUAGGGGCAGCUGGAACUUCCGGUGGAGCGGUGAAAUGCGUUGAUAUCGGAAGGAACGCCGGUGGCGAAAGCGAGCUGCUGGACCUCUUCUGACGCUGAGGCGCGAAAGCCAGGGGAGCAAACGGG